CUCCUGGCUACAGGAGUCAUGAAAUGAUGCCCUUCCCCUGGUCCCCUAAACAGGCAACACUAUUUACUCCUUUUCUCUAGUCAUGGGAAACAUUUACAAAAGGUCAGGGCCUGAUGAGCUCCAUACACAAGCACAACUGCAUUUACCCCUUAUAGGAGCACUAUCUCCUGGCUACAGGAGUCAUGAAAUGAUGCCCUUCCUCUGGUCCCCUAAACAGGCAACACUAUUUACUCCUUUUCUCUAGUCAUGGGAAACAUUUACAAAAGGUCAGGGCCUGAUGAGCUCCAUACACAAGCACAACUGCAUUUACCUCUUAUAGGAGCACUAUCUCCUGGCUACAGGAGUCAUGAAAUGAUGCCCUUCCUCUGGUCCCCUAAACAGGCAACACUAUUUACUCUGUUCUCUAGUCAUGCGAAACAUUUACAAAGGUCAGGGCCUGU
ensembl:lncRNA